AAUUCCAGCUCAAGUUUAUUUUUAAGGAUUAGUUGAGCAAGUUUGGAGUUGGAAGUGAGAGAAUCGUGUUUAAAGGAAAGGGUAGGUCAUCCACAGAACAGCUUUCAGUCAUUACAAAAAAAAAAUACUUCUUGCUUUUAUAUUACCAUCUUCCCCCAUUAGGCCUACCUGCAUACUGUGCUUCAUCAAAUCUAAGAUCACCUCACAACUAUACCAUUAUUUUAGGCACCACUAAAAGACAGUGUAUUGCUAACAAAACUAUGAUAAACCAUUGAUAAUAUAUCCAGAUUUCAGAGAUGUUACAGUGCAUCUUAGUUGAUGAAACAAAAAUAUACAAAACAUGAGACACAGUAAAAAUGAUAAGUACCACCUCAUUAUACCUUUUCACAAGCAAAUAGUGGCCAAAGAUGUGAACGGCCAGACACGGUAGCCGACAUAUGUAAUCCCAGAUACUCUGGAGGCUGAGGCAGAGGAUCACUUGAGCUCAGGAGUUUGAGACCGGCUUGGGCAAUAUAGUAAGACCCCACAGAAAAAUGUAAAGCCAGGUGUGAUGGCACACACCUGUAGUUCCAGCUACUGGGGAGGCUGAGGCAGGAGGGAUGGCUUGAACCCAGGAACUGGAGGAUGCAGUGAGCUAUGAUCACACCACUGGACUCCAGCCUGGGUGAUGGAGUGGGACAGUGUCUCUUUAAAAAAUGUGGGCCAGGCUAAUUUUUAAAAACAUGCGUUUUUAAUUACCAGGAUUUACCUGAUAAAACUACUCUUUGUCAAGGUUGUAGGACUUCUGAAAAGACAGAACUAGCUUUGUUGCGUUUCACGAAGGACAGAUCAGUUCGUCUGUAUAGGCUAUAAGCAGGUAAGUAGUGCACUCUAUUGGUGAAGGAUUUCUGUUGUUUUGGAAAGCCAACUAUAGCUGGCUGCAUGGAGGGAAAUCCAAAAUCCAGAUGACGUGGUGUGAGUCAAUGGGAUGAGAAACACUGGUAUUUUCUUUACAAUUUCAUUUUACAAAGAGCACAUUAAACUAAAAUUUUAUGAAUUAUGACUUAAUCUAAUAGUUCAACAGCAGACUCAAGAAAAGCACAGAUGUGAUUCUAACAGAAGACUACUCAUAUAAACAGGUUUAAUGCAACAUGGAAUGCAAAAGAUUAGAACCAUUAAAAUAUUUAAUUCUUCAACUUUAAAAAAUUAAAUAAAAUCAAAAUAGGAUAAUGACCAGAAUAGUGCCAUUAUAAUCACAUCAAAAAGCUUCCAUUAACAUUUUAUGAAUUUGGCAAUCUAGUACAAUACAUUAAGUAUUGUGUUUCACUCAAUUUUGUGAUACUCCAUUUUUGAAAAAACUUAGAGGCUUCAGAUACCCAUGAAAAGAAAAAAAUCAGGGUAGAAACACAUAGGCUGAGGUUUGCUAAUUCACUGUUUACAGAGGACCUUAGAUGUCCCACUAUAAUUGCUCUUAGGUAUUUUUAACAAAUGAAUAGUCAUAAUUCACAGAAAAGACAAGUGGUACUUUUUAUCUACAUAGACUAUACUAUAUAAAC
rnacentral:lncRNA from 1 species